rnacentral:snoRNA from 1 species
UGCGCUGAUGAGUUUGCUCAGACUAGAGUCUCUGACUUGAUCUGAUGUCUUUCGAAGCCCUGAGCA